GACGAACCGUGCAAACGUUGUUCGGAAUCACUGGGCUUAAAGGGCGCGUAGGCGGGCGGUCAAGUCAGGGGUGAAAUCUUUCGGCUCAACCGGAAAAGUGCCCUUGAUACUGACUGUCUGGAGGGAGGUAGGGGCGUGCGGAACUUCCGGUGGAGCGGUGAAAUGCGUUGAUAUCGGAAGGAACACCGGUGGCGAAAGCGGCGCGCUGGACCUCUACUGACGCUGAGGCGCGAAAGCCAGGGGAGCAAACGGG
rnacentral:rRNA from 1 species